GACGAACGCUGGCGGCGUGCCUAAUACAUGCGAGUAGAACGCUGAAGGAGGAGCUUGCUUCUCCGGAUGAGUUGCGAACGGGUGAGUAACGCGUAGGUAACCUGCCUGGUAGCGGGGGAUAACUAUUGGAAACGAUAGCUAAUACCGCAUAAGAGUAGAUGUCGCAUGACAUUUGCUUAAAAGGUGCAACUGCACCACUACCAGAUGGACCUGCGUUGUAUUAGCUAGUUGGUGAGGUAACGGCUCACCAAGGCAACGAUACAUAGCCGACCUGAGAGGGUGAUCGGCCACACUGGGACUGAGACACGGCCCAGACUCCUGCGGGAGGCAGCAGUAGGGAAUCUUCGGCAAUGGACGGAAGUCUGACCGAGCAACGCCGCGUGAGUGAAGAAGGUUUUCGGAUCGUAAAGCUCUGUUGUAAGAGAAGAACGAGUGUGAGAGUGGAAAGUUCACACUGUGACGGUAUCUUACCAGAAAGGGACGGCUAACUACGUG
rnacentral:rRNA from 1 species